rnacentral:misc_RNA from 1 species
AGCUAAUCAAGCAAUUCUUGAAGCCUUUGCAGGUAAAACACGAGUUCACAUUAUUGACUUCUCCAUAAAUCAGGGUUUGCAGUGGCCUGCUUUGAUGCAAGCUUUUGCGCUUAGGUCUGGUGGACCACCUAUUUUUCGGUUAACGGGGAUCGGACCUCCGGUUAGUGAUGGCUCUGACUAUCAUAAAAGAAUAGGCUGGAAUUUGGGUCAGUUGGCAGAGACGAUUGGCGUUCAGUUUGAGUAUAGAGGGUUUACAGCUGAGAGUUUAGAUGAUCUUGAUGCUAUUAUGCUUCAAGUCAAUCCCAUUGAGUUUGGGUCAGUUGCUGUUAACUCGAUCUUUGAGUUGCAUAAAUUGUUGGGCAGACCUGGAGCUAUUGACAAGGUUCUGUCAAUGGUGAAACAAAUGAAGCCUGAGAUUUUUACCAUAGCUGAGCAAGAAGCUGACACUAACAAUCCAAUUUUCUUGGACCGCUUCACUAAGUCUUUGCAUUAUUACUUGGCAAUGUAUGAAUCGUUGGAGGUUUCGGCAAUAACCCAAGACAAGCUAGAGUCAGAAAUCUACUUGGGGAUGCAGAUUUUCAAUACCGUGGCCUGUGAAGGGUUUAAUAGAAUUGAGAGAUAUGAGAAGCUGGCUCGGUGGCGCACUCGAUUAGGGUCUGCAGGGUUUGUGCCGAUUGAUCUUGGGUCAAAUGGGUUGAAGCAGGCAGGAUUGUUGUUGUCUCUAAUUGCUGGUAAUGAAGGGUAUACACUGGAGGAGGAUAAUGGAUGUCUGAUGUUGGGCUGUCAUACUGUCCCGCUAAUUGCUACCUCCGCUUGGCGGCCUGGCAACUGAUGUGUAGGGUGUGUUAUUGAGUAAAAUGACGCAGUUGACUCAUCUGCACUCUUAAUUCAUAUGAACUCCAGAUGUUAAGCAAUAAAACCUCGUGAUUCAUCUACUGUCCACGACGAUUCAGAUGCGUCAAGCACUUCUCUUUCAUCACUUUCUAGUACUGUACUGUUUGGUAAUAUAAGAAGUUUAGCGUUUCAAUCUAAACAUGUCUGCGAGCUGUAAGCUUCAAAUAGUACUUC